rnacentral:rRNA from 1 species
GACGAACGCUGGCGGCGUGCUUAACACAUGCAAGUCGAGCGAUGAAAGCCUUAUGAACUAUUCGUAGUGAUUGGGGCCGGAUUAGCGGCGGACGGGUGAGUAACGCGUGAGCAACCUGCCUUAAACAACGGGAUAGCCUCGGGAAACCGGGAUUAAUACCGUAUGAGACCCCGCCUUCCCACGAAGAAGCGGUUAAAGAUUUAUCGGUUUAAGAUGGGCUCGCGUCUGAUUAGCUAGUUGGUGAGAUAAAAGCCCACCAAGGCAACGAUCAGUAACCGGCUUGAGAGAGUGAACGGUCACAUUGGAACUGAGACACGGUCCAAACUCCUACGGGAGGCAGCAGUGGGGAAUAUUGCACAAUGGGGGAAACCCUGAUGCAGCGACGCCGCGUGAGCGAUGAAGGAAUUCGUUUCGUAAAGCUCUGCCCAAGGGGAAGAUAAUGACAGUACCCUUGGAGGAAGCCCCGGCUAAAUACGUGCCAGCCGCCGCGGUAA